rnacentral:snoRNA from 1 species
CCUGCUGCCCAGGUUGGGUGGCAGAGAGGAGGGAGGUGUGUCUAUGCUCAGCGGUGGGACCUAUGAACAUCUGAAUAAUUAGUAGCCUCGCAGU